CGUCUAAGAUAGACAACAGCAGAUGACAAUAAGGCUUCCUGUGGUUGUGAUGAAAAGAUUGUGAAAUAGGGUGUACUGAUUUUUGUAGUGGCAUUUUUUGCUGGUAUCGCUUUGAUGUCCAUAGUAUUUCACGUCCGCAUUCCACUUCAGUGUCUUAAUUCAGAAUUUUGUGCCGUCUUGUCAGAAAAGUUGUAUUUGAUUCAUCGCUAGACGGUUCUGCCUAUUAAAGCUACCUUCAUGUGACAGGUUUUGCUGAUUGGAGUUGCUACGACUGAUGAUGUACCACAGCCAAGGGACAGCACUCCAGCUUCCACUUCUGAGCCAUCUCCAGCUCCUGAGUCCUUACCUCUUCUGACUGCUUCUACACUUGUUGCUCAAACUCCUGAAUAAGGUAUUCCAACUCCAGAGGAUUCUAGUGUCAAUCUUCUAGGGGAUGAUUUUUCGAAUUCAGAACUUCUUUAAGCAGGAGAAGGCUGAUUUAAAUGCUUCUGUGGACUUAAGAGGAUGCAUGUUAGUGGCUACAAAUCUCCAUAGGGAAAAAAUGUGUCACCAGACGUAGUAAAAGACUGGCUGUGCCUUUCAACAUUCUGGA